AUAUAUAUUUCUUCUUGCUCGUCACCUGAUCCCGCCGCCACCCGCCCUGGUGGCGCUGCCCCCGCCAUUCCUGUCCAAGACGUACGAUCUCGUCAGGGAGUCGCAGCUGGACGGGUCCAUCUCCCGGGGUCCCGCCGGCAAGAACUUUGUCGUGUGGAAUCCUUCCACCUUCGCCUGGAUGUGCUCCCGCACAACUUCAAGCACAACAACUUCUCCGGCUUCAUCCGGCAGCUCAACACCUAUUUAUUGCAGAGCAGUCAAACGAGUACCUCAGACUGAAAGCAUGAAUGAAGAAUUUGCAAACAACCCGACACGAACCAUGCCCAUGUGACGAUACUAAGCGAAGUUGUGCACAUGGUUGUGGACACUCUACACGAAAGAAAUUUGUAUAAAUGUACAAUGCUCCAUUUGAAGCCUCCUGGGAUGAUAUUGGAAGGAACUUGAGCGGAAGGCCGCCGGUAGAGCCUGUAUCAGAGGACAUGGAAGAAAUGAGCCCAAGCCCAAUUAAAUUUUCUCUCUCUAAAGAAAUGCCUAUUUAUUGCUUUUGGGUUGGUGCUUUUGGUUCCUUGAGAUUCUCAUUUAUGCAGAAACAUCAGUGAUGUGGCAAAGAAGGUGGAUUGUAGCAGCAGCGUGAAAGUUGGAUAUUGCUGGGGCGGGUUGGGUACGGCAAGCCGCACUUCCUAUCUAGUGGGGAUGAAGUGAAGCGUCCAAGGAACCCGACCUUCGGGCUAUUUCGCAACCGUGUCUCCCCGCGCGAAUUUUUCUGGUCAGUCGUGUUCUAUGUGAUGUAAGUGUAAUCUGCAAACGGUUUUUAGCAACUAAAUGUCAGUUUUAAAUAGGAAUCCCUCUCAUUGGAGGAUUUGCUCUCGGGUCGUGAUGAAACAUGCCUCUGUUGCAAUUUUACUGCCUGA